rnacentral:lncRNA from 1 species
CAGUGGUUAACCAUUUGUUUGAUCGACGACAUUGUCACUCCUUGUUGCAGUGUCAACAGUGUAACAUUUUCCAUUUGCAGCUGGCAUUUGCAUAACGCGACUUCGCUUCCGAUUUUCACCUGGCUGACUGGUUUGACUGGGCGCCUGGUACACUCACCUGUCAUUGUCAGUGUGGCUGGGGGUUGAUGGAUCAGGGGUCAAAUGGCGCAGGGCGGUGCCAACACGUUGAGUACAUAACAAUGAAAAUGACGGGUUCUGGUUGAUGUUUGCUUGUAGCUGUUGCCGCUCCUGGUUUCCCGUUGCCCAUUGCUCGUUGCUCCCCCUUGCCGAUUGCUGUGACUGCUCUCGUGUCAUUCAAUGUAUUUACACAGCAAUUUAUUUGUACAUCACUGUAGUGACUUUAUCUACCCUCCCCUGCCACCUGCCCGCCCCAGACCCAGGACGCAGCUUUGUAUAAUAUGGUGUUGUUAUUG